rnacentral:misc_RNA from 1 species
GCGGGCAUCAUGUUAUUGUUUAUACUCGACGAUGGCUGUGUAUAAACACAGUAGAAUAUCAUAUUUUUGUUCUGAUUUCUGGCAUUUUUUAACCUAAUCAUUAAUUAUUCUUAGAACAAAUCUACAACCACGUAAUCCUUGUUCAACCGAAAUUAAGGAUUGGUAGUUUGGCCACAUAGGACACCAUGUAUCAUCAUAAUCCAGACCCCCAGAUGGUGUAUGGACAGACAACAGUGCCGAAUAACAACUCUCAGCCACUAACAUACUUGACGUUCAUCGCAGCCGAUCGACAACAAGCAGCCUCUCAGGGGUGUAGUAGAGCGUUUAUGAUCGUGGGUGCGUUGAUGUUUGUGCUCGGCAUUGCACUUGCUACACAGAGAACCAACAUCCUGGGGUUCAUGCUUCUCUUAAGCGGGUUAUUGUUCAUUUUCCUCGGAGCCACCGCUCGUCGACGUGCUAGACAGAACAUGAUGAAUGCGAAUCCAUUAAGCGUGCAACCUGUGCAGUACACGCAAGGACACGCAAUGAUCACAUAUGCACCGGUGCCUGCAUACCCGUACCCAAACAGACCGAUGCAACCUGGAGCAACGCCGUUGUCACCGUCUGCAAGCUACAUACCGUGCGAUUUGCCAACAUACGAUGCAAAUGGAUAUUCUGUGCUAAGACCAGAUAUUGAUACAUCUUCUCAGCCUGCACUGGUGCCAGAUGCGUGUACGAUGUACCCACAACCAGCCUAUCAGCCACUUAGUAGUGUUGAUAUGUCUGCUGGACAUACAGAGAAGGCAGAUGGAACUACGCCGAUGUCUAAAGAAUCAACAGCCAGCACACACCACAACGUUCAAUAAUUGGACCAAAGCUGCUAAAGACCAUAGAAACCCUGGUUCCUAAAGUGGUCUUUAAUUGGUGGGAGACCUGUUUUUAGAAACCAGAAUAAUGAGCUGGAGGAUUGAGAUGCCUGUUUGAGUUACGCACCGUGUAUCAGAUGAGACGUUUGAGCCAUUUCUCCCAUGUGCAAUAUGGAUCAUAUGCUAUGGCCCAUGUGUCAUAUGGCCCAUGUGCAAUAUGGCCCAUGUGCAAUAUGGACCAUGUGCUAUAUGGCCCAUGUGCUAUAUGGCCAUGUGCUGUAUGGCCCAUGUGCAAUAUGACUCAUGUGCUAUAUGGCACAUGUGCUAAAAAACUCAUGUGCAAUAUGGACCAUUUUUUUUAUUUUUACAUGUGAAUUUAAUAUUUACCUUGAUGUUUGGCCCCUAUGGGUAAGGCAUGAUGUGUCAUGUGCUUAACUUUUAUGAUAGGCAAUGUAUAAUUGUAAUUUUGAAUAAUUACAGCAUUAAUAAACACAUUGACUGCCACAGAUGGAUGUAGUCACAUGAUAAGGUGUCGCUGAGGGCGCUGCUGCAACAGAACGAAGCACUUUUUUAUAUUCUAUCUCUAACAUUAUGGUGGAAUCUGCUUGAAGUUUUUUUCAUAGGCUUAAGCAUAAACUGCAUGGCAGCCAAUGUGUUAAUGUCGCAUUAUUCAAUUAUUUUUCAAUUAUUAUCUGCAAUGUGAAUAGACAUUUUUAGAAGUAGAGUGUGUGUGUAUAUGUGUGGAUUAGUGUAAUGCAAUUUUUCUUUGCAGUUCGGUGCUAAUGUUUUGUAAGCUAAGUGUGUAUUGAAUAAACGUUAUCGUCGAGGUAAAAAAAAAUAUUA